rnacentral:lncRNA from 1 species
GUGAGCCCACUGCCCAAAAACCGCUCUCCACUGGCUUCCAACGGAGGCGGUGGGACUUCCUUUUCCCGCUGGAGUUUGGCUACUGCUAGUGCAGGCAGCAGGCCUUGUCAGACCUACGAGAAUCUCGACUUCUUGUACAGAAAUCCACCUGCCAACAGCGCCCCCUCUGGAGCAUCAGGGCCACCACCGCUGCCGGCUAAAUCCAUCCAGAGAGGUCGCUCAGACCCCCAGAUUUCGGUCACAACUCAGGAAGGAAGCUCCAUCCUGAGACGUUGCUCUAACCCAGCCCGCUCCUCCGAGUCCCCAGACGCAGGCGCGACACAGCCCCCCUUCACCCAACACAGAGAACCAAGGCCAAGCUGGGCGGCCCCCUCGGUCUCCCCAAGCGCACGGAGGUCUGCCCAGGGGCCAUAGGCAGACGUGGGACGGCCAACCGGGUUCUAGUUCUGGGUCCCAAAGCAGUGUCACACCGACAUCCUCUCCGAAUCACAUAGGACCUGUCAGCUCGGAGAAGACCACGUCGUAUCGACGGACCAGCAGCGGAGGAGGCAACCAGGGGAAAUGUGGUGUGUUGUCUCCGAGCUGUGUGGGCAGCCAGGAGGAGCUGUACUGCAGUUUAUUAGGGAACGGUUCGGGCCUCACCCCAGCUCCUGCUCCAGCCCAAUCAUCGUCAUCAUCUUCAUCAUCAUCAUCAUCAUCAUCGCCUGCUGUGACCUGCGCCCCUCGACCCCGCAGGAACGCUAUGGUACAGCCACAUAUUCAAAAAACUUCUUGCCAUCAUAUCUAGCCAGUAGUUCAGGGCCUCCGUGGCACAGUCUUCAAUUUCAGAGGAGCUUUUCAUUUCUCUGGGAGAAUCAGAAAAGGCCAGUGAGAUUUCACAGUCAAUAUACUGGUGGCACACUGAGAAAUAUACUGCAUGUCUCCUCCAGGUCUCGGGCAGCCGGCCACAUCACAAGCGUGUCAAGGCUUUGGUGGACUGCCGAGCAGUCAGUUCUGAGCAGCUCGCCUUUUUCAAAGAUGAGAUCAUCGUGGUCACGGCCACUAAUGACCCCCACUGGUGGAUUGGUCAUAUAG